rnacentral:rRNA from 1 species
UACAGAGGGGGCAAGCGUUGUUCGGAAUUACUGGGCGUAAAGGGCGCGUAGGCGGCCUGCUAAGUCGAACGUGAAAUCCCUGGGCUCAACCCAGGAACUGCGUCCGAUACUGGUUGGCUUGAAUCCGGGAGAGGGAUGUGGAAUUCCAGGUGUAGCGGUGAAAUGCGUAGAUAUCUGGAGGAACACCGGUGGCGAAGGCGGCAUCCUGGACCAACACUGGCGCUGAGGAGCGAAAGCCAGGGGAGCAAACGGG